GCACUGCUGAGGAGUGCCACAAUAGGACGAAACGGCAGUCCAGUGC
rnacentral:hammerhead_ribozyme from 1 species